GUCUCCAUGGCGCAAUUGGCUAGCGCGUUCGGCAGUUAACCGAAAGGUUGGAGGUUCGAGCCCUCCUGGGAGCG
rnacentral:tRNA from 1 species